AUGUUAUGAAACAACACAGUUUUUGUCAACCAACCUCAACUCAGGUUCCACCUGAGACCAGCGUUGUAACAGUAUUUGGCAGCUGCUGCAAGGCUGUAGUAAUGUCACCGCCUAUCUGAGAGCCUAGGCAAAAGGAAGGUGGUACUCUGCUUGGUGCGGUGUAGAAAUAGCCCUGUCUCAAAGCCUGGCUCUCGUAUACUGCAUGUAUAAAUGGCACAAUAGCAAAACCGUGACUGGAACGAGAGUACCUUGCUCUGAUCAAUUAAUCCUUGACCCGUUUGCUUCUGUAGGUGGUUCUUUGGGGACCGACAAAUAAUGGAUCCAAUAUUUGGAUGCAAUCAACACUGACAUUAUGAGAGUUAAUAAAACUCAUUAUCCUCUGGCUGUGUGCUCCCCAUGGCAAGGGAAAGGAUGUUAAUUUAAUGUUGUGUGUUUUUUUUUUUUUAAUUAACUAACACUCUAAGUAGCCACAAGCCUCUAGAUAAUGUUUAAAAAAUGAAAACAGAACUUAGAGCAAAGCUGUUUGUGUGGCGAAAAUCCUCAAAAUUAUUUUAGUAGCCAAAGAGCCAAGAAGUUCCUUAAGUUUUGAGAGUUUGCCUUUGAGAGCAUAAGAUUAAUUUAAUUUCACUUUUCCUGGUUUCCUAAGGUAGUGAAACAUAAAAACUAGAUGAAAUGUCAUUUACCUGUGUUGGUUUUGGUGAAAUGUGUGCAUAAGCAGAUAUUUGAAACUUAUAGCUUAUGACCAGUAAGGAACAAAGUGGAGCAAGCAAACAGCUCAGCAGUUACCCAUUUGUACAAGAUGGUUUGUGUAAAAUGGCAAAAGAAAUCUCUGGUCCUACAGGAUUUGAAAGCAGAUGAAAGACUUUUCAGCAUCUGCAGCUGAAGUGGAAGCACGAGGGAUCUGCCUGGCUCAGAUCUCCCCUGAUCAUUUUGCUGAAGAAGGUCACAAUUCUGCUGCUGUCUGGACUGUGCUAGUCACCUCUUGCAAACAUUCAGCUAAACUUCCAUCACUGAAAGCUAAGCUACUGUGUUGUGUUAGCUUAGACCACUGGUGUAAUGAAUGA
rnacentral:lncRNA from 1 species